AUGUCAGCGUUGAAGGUUACUGCUUUUGAUUUUGACAGUAUCCCAGAACCGUGUGGGCACAUGAACAUUCCAAAGAAGAUACUUCCAGGUUCUUCACAUGCUGGAUAUGCACAGAGGUUGAGAACAGAAGGAAUGAAACAGAUCAUCCCAGAAAGACCACGUAAUCAAAAAUCACCACUUUCCAUACGGUAUGUCCUGCUAUGAG
rnacentral:lncRNA from 1 species